GGGUCAGGAGGGUGGUCGUGCCACCGGUACGUACUGGCCUCACUGAUUCCUCCUUCCUGAAGAACCGUAAUGCCAUUAAUUUGGUGUUGCGGGGAAACAGGACUGUUACUUUGAAAAAAUUAGAGUGUUUAAAGCAAGCUAACGCUUGAAUACAUUAGCAUGGAAUAAUGAAAUAGGACGAUCGAUCCUAUUUUGUUGGUUUCUAGGAUUGACGUA
rnacentral:rRNA from 1 species